AGACCAGGUGCUUCACUCCAACCUUAGUGAAGAGAUGAUGUCGAUAGAUUCUGUUUAAACAACUUACAAGUUACUGACGAAUAAUAGAAUUUUUCUGAUAUAACGUCACAAGUAAACCAAUUUUGAGGCAGUAGUAGAUGAUUAACAGCAAAUCACAUUCGUAUAUGAUUGAAUAAUUGAUUUAAUCUGGUUUUAAUAUGAUAUUAACAGCCAAUACUAUAAUAUGAUAUAAGAAAAUACCGACAGUUUAUCGAUAACACUGCCGUGUCUACACUACAUCCCUACAGUACACACGCCGAAUGUACCUUAUAUACAAUUAUAGCAGUUAUCGAUCAAAAUCCGUCUGGGUCCUGUAUGUGUGCGUGCGACGCUAGUUUACAUGUGUGCAGACCAAGCGUUGUGUCUACACUACACAUCCCUACAGUACAGACGCCGCGCCGCGCACAUCUAGCCAGUCUCGUUACGGACCAUGCGCGGUACAGACGUGUGUCGUAAUUUCACAAAUAUUAAAGUAAUUAUUGAGUAAAAAGAUCCAGAAUUAUAGAUCUCCCUGCCUCGUCCGAGAUGACCUCGAGAAUCUUCCACAAAAGCGGUGUCAGGGAGGCGCGGAGUGUUAUUAAAGAUCUCCCUGCCUCGUCCGAGAUGACCUCGAGAAUCUUCCACAAAAGCGGUGUCAGGGAGGCGCGGAGUGUUAUUAAAGAUCUCCCUGCCUCGUCCGGGAUGACCUCGAGAAUUUUCCACAAAAGCGGUGUCAGGGAGGCGCGGAGUGUUAUUAAAGAUCUCCCUGCCUCGUCCGAGAUGACCUCGAGAAUCUUCCACAAAAGCGGUGUCAGGGAGGCGCGGAGUGUUAUUAAAGAUCUCCCUGCCUCGUCCGAGAUGACCUCGAGAAUCUUCCACAAAAGCGGUGUCAGGGAGGCGCGGAGUGUUAUUAAAGAUCUCCCUGCCUCGUCCGAGAUGACCUCGAGAAUCUUCCACAAAAGCGGUGUCAGGGAGGCGCGGAGUGUUAUUAAAGUUGCUGCAGUGCUGACUGUAUACCUCACGGGUGGCCGGUAGUUAUUGUAGAUUAUUUAAACAGUUUCUUAACGGUUGAUUCGAUGCAACUGAAAACAAAAUAGCUGUCAGGGAGGCGCGGAGUGUUAUUAAAGUUGCUGCAGUGCUGACUGUAUACCUCACGGGUGGCCGGUAGUUAUUGUAGAUUAUUUAAAGAGUUUCUUGAUAGCCGGUUUGAUACAAUAUACAUGUACUCUCAUGUAAACAUUUUUAAAUAAAUUACUGUGACUUGUAA